rnacentral:rRNA from 1 species
GACGCUGGCGGCGUGCCUAACACAUGCAAGUCGAACGAGAAGUUCAUUAAUGAUCUCUUCGGAGAGAUUUAAUGAAUGGACAGUGGCGGACGGGCGAGUAACGCGUGAGUAACCUGCCCAUAAGUGAGGGAUAGCCCAUGGAAACGUGGAGUAAUACCUCAUAUUGUAUACUGGUCACAUGACCUAUAUAUGAAAGAUUUAUCGCUUAUGGAUGGACUCGCGUCUGAUUAGUUAGUUGGUGAGGUAACGGCUCACCAAGACGAUGAUCAGUAGCCGAACUGAGAGGUUGAUCGGCCACAUUGGGACUGAGACACGGCCCAGACUCCUACGGGAGGCAGCAGUGGGGAAUAUUGCGCAAUGGGGGCAACCCUGACGCAGCAACGCCGCGUGAAGGAUGAAGGUCUUCGGAUUGUAAACUUCUGUCUUAUGGGAAGAACACAGACGGUACCAUAGGAGGAAGCCACGGCUAACUACGUG